UACGAAGGGUGCAAGCGUUGCUCAGAAUUAUUGGGCGUAAAGGGUAGGUAGGUGGUAAUAAAAGUCUGGGGUGAAAUCCCUGAGCUCAACUCAGGACGUGCCUUGGAAACUUUAUUACUAGAGUGCUGGAGAGGUCCGCAGAAUUCCCGGUGUAGCGGUGAAAUGCGUAGAGAUCGGGAGGAAUACCAGAGGCGAAGGCGGCGGACUGGACAGCAACUGACACUCAACUACGAAAGCGUGGGUAGCAAACAGG
rnacentral:rRNA from 1 species